UGAUCACAGAAAUAUGGGAGGGUAACAAAAAAGACCCUGUGGUCAAAGGUUGGGCCAUACAAGGUCUACUCUGAGAACUUAAUGGACCUGGCCCCAGGAAAGGAGCUGGAGAGUAAGAUCAUGAAUGCAUAUCUGUCCAUUGUGGGGAAAAGAACGGGGGCAUUUAUAAUUGACGCCUACACAAUGACCGAAGUCUGGCAAGGCUCUCAGAAAUGUUUCAGAAGGCUUGACCUUUUAAAACAUGAUGUGGCAGCUGGGGCAGUUUGCCACCACGGUCACUGGACCCUCAUUAUCUUGUAUCUAAAGGAGAAACGGUCCUUGUUCUUGGACCCUUUUGGGGCCACUGGACAACAAAUAAAGCACUGCAGAGAUGUUACAAGAGCACUGGUCCGCAGAUAUUGUCCUGCCAUUGGGAAGUGGGAGUGCUCAACAAUGGCACAUCCCAAACAGCAGGACACAACAUCCUGUGGCAUAUUUGUGUGCAAGCUUGCAGAGCAAAUAUUGCAGCAGAAGCCUGUCUACUUCCCUGUGGACCAGGAAGGUGUGGCUGCAUUGAGGCUGGAAAUGGCAUUGUGCUUGCUGAAGGACACUGAUGACCUGUCUGAGCUGUGUCGGGCUUGUGGGGAGGAGAGCUCUGGGGCCGAAACGGAUGAAUGGGACACUGGUGCCACUGAUGGAAGAUCACACCGACUCUACACAGGACCACAGCUAAGAUUUAAACCAAAAUCUGACAUUGUAACAUAA
rnacentral:lncRNA from 15 species